UACAGAGGGGGCAAGCGUUGUUCGGAAUUACUGGGCGUAAAGGGCGCGUAGGCGGCCCGCUAAGUCGAACGUGAAAUCCCCGAGCUCAACUCGGGAACUGCGUCCGAUACUGGUGGGCUUGAAUCCGGGAGAGGGAUGCGGAAUUCCAGGUGUAGCGGUGAAAUGCGUAGAUAUCAGGAGGAACACCAAUUGCGAAGGCAGCUCGCUGGGACGUUACUGACGCUGAGACGCGAAAGCGUGGGGAGCAAACAGG
rnacentral:rRNA from 1 species